CUGAAAUCAAUAUAUAGACCAAAACAAAGCUCAGACAUAAGACCUUGAAACCCAAAUACUCCAGUAGAGAGAAUUUUUCUCAAGGAAACAGAGUUCUUUUGCCGCUGUGUUUUCUGGGUUUGCGAUGUUUCCAGGAGAACAGCAUCUUGGAAAGAUCGAUCAAACUGUACUUGACCUGCGCGUCCAUGUUGAGAAGGUAGUCUUUGAGCAGCAAACCGCUCUGUUAAAAUCUGUAGAACAAAAGAAAGUUCUUAGGCAAGAGCUUGAGCAAAGUGAUGCUCGAAAGAAAGAGCUUGAGAAACAACUUGUGGAGAAUGAAACUCAAAAGAAUGAACUUUGGAAAGUUCUUGAGCAGAGACAAGCUCAAACGGAAUAUCUUGAGAAAGAACUAGACCACAGUGAAGCUCAAAAACAAGAGCUAAAAAGAGAGCUCCAGAAGAGUGAAGCUCAGAAAGAAGAGCUUAGCAAAGAACUUAAGCAGAAGGAGGCUCAGAAUGAAGAGCUUAAGGAAGUACUCUUAGAGCAGAAAACAGCACUGUUAAAAUAUGAACAACAAAUGAAGGAUCGUAAGAAAUUUCUUGAGCAAACUGAAGCUCAAUGCAAAGAUCUUAAGAAAGAAGUUGAGCAGCUACUUAACCUACGUGACCACUUUAAAGCAGUAAUCUUAGAGCAGCAUGUAGACUUGUCAAAAUCUGAAGCUAAAGUGAAGGAUUUCAUAGAAGAGCUUGAACACAGUGAAGCUCGAAACAAAGAGCUUAAGAAAGAACUAGAGGCAAAUGAGCGGAAGAGGGAGCUCGAGCAGCAAGAGAUGGAACUGCAAAAAAUGAAUGAGAGGGUUUCCCUGGUUAAAGAGACAGCUGAUAAAUUGUUGCCACUUUUGGUUGAUAAAUUGAUGCCACUUUUGGCUGAUAAAUUGAUGCCACUUUUGGCAGAAGACCUAAUGCUAUGCCAUAAAGAAAAGGAAGACCUUCAUCGGAAAAACAAUGAAUUGGAAAAAAAGCUUGAGCAGCAGGAGAAGAAACUGCAACAAAUGCAAAGCGUUGAUGAAGAAGAUGAACGGUUGAGAAGUUUGAAAGACGAGUUGGGUGUCGAAGUUUACAAGGGGUAUUGAAUACACUCAAGUACUCAACCAGUGUAAAACGGCAGGAAAGCGAUAUAAGCUGAAGAGUAUCGGAUAGCAGUGAGAGUGGAGGUGGCUAAAUGGUGAAGUACCACUAGUAGUUGUAGUUGCUUUGAUAGGAAAACUUAGCAAGUAGCUCUUGUACUGACUUGCACACCCAGCCUGAUGUGCAUGCAUUUUCAUAUUUGUAAAUAGAUAGGGUUAAGCUUAAGAUGGCAUAUCUAACUUUGCCUCCUUUUCUGGAUCUUCUGAAGUUUUGUCAUCCUUUAUACUUCUAGUGAUUUGGCAGUUACUCC